UUUUUUGGACAAAAGGGUUGCUAAGUAAUUAAAAUUGGAUUUGGUGAUUGAUAGUGGUAGUACUACCAGUUUUUUGUACUGCUGUGACAGUAGCUGAUGGAAUAAAGCUUAACUGUCAACAUAUAUGUCAGUCUUUUCAGUGGAAGAUGCAGAAUUACGAAUUUAAUGGGGAUUUUAGAAUUCUGGAGUUGGGUGGUUUUGAUAUGAUUUUGGGUGUAGACUAGUUAAAAGCUCAUAAUCUAGUUCUUUUUUAUUUUGAGGCAUCCAUGAUUACUCUUACAGUAGAAGGGAAGGUAGUUUCCUUGAAAGGUAUGGGAGAUGAGGUGUUAUUUUCUG
rnacentral:misc_RNA from 1 species